AGCGAACGCUGGCGGCAGGCCUAACACAUGCAGGUCGAACGAACUCUUCGGAUUUAGUGGCGGACGGGUGCGUAACACGUGGGAACGUGCCUUUUGGUUCGGAAUAACUCAGGGAAAGUUGUGCUAAUACCGGAUGUGGUCUUCGGGGGAAAGAUUUAUCGCCAUUAGAUCGGCCCGCGUCUGAUUAGCUAGUUGGUGAGGUAACGGCCCACCAAGGCGACGAUCAGUAGCUGGUCUGAGAGGAUGACCAGCCACACUGGGACUGAGACACGGCCCAGACUCCUACGGGAGGCAGCAGUGGGGAAUCUUGCGCAAUGGGCGAAAGCCUGACGCAGCCAUGCCGCGUGAGUGAUGAAGGUCUUAGGAUUGUAAAGCUCUUUCACCCGGGACGAUAAUGACGGUACCCGGAGAAGAAGCCCCGGCUAACUUCGUG
rnacentral:rRNA from 1 species